UAGAUUCAAGGACAGCUAUGAAAAUAUAGUUAAUAAGUUUUGGAUUAGCUCGGGUUGCUAUGGUUUGGUUUCAGGUAUUAAGUGACCCAAAUCCAAUCCAUGUUUGGAAGUUAUACUUUUAAAUUCAAGCCUAAUCCAAAUAACUACAGCUCAAGCUGGACCAGGUUAUUUUGGAUUAGUUCCAGAUCAAAAGUGGGUCAAUCCAAUCCAUCUGCAGCCCUGACAGUUUGAACCAUUAAGAAAUUUGCAAAUUGAAAAACCUUGAACAAUGUGAAGGCACCACUCAGUGAACUUGAUAGCCAUACCAUAAUUAUAUAAGAUGUGAAAAGCUGAUUCAAGUACUUGUUAGAUUCAAAACAAAAACAUGGAAACAUAAAGUUGUUCAGCCUUAAAGCAAAAAGGUACAUGGAAGUUGUUUUCCUGCACCAAAGAAUUAUCUUGAACUGAUAAGAAGAAUAGCAUGCAUGCAUUACACUCAAAUUCAUGAUGAGGUUACAUACAGCAGGUGAAGUAACUGACGAUGAGGAGAAUAUCCUAUCAUCUGGCUGAAACUUCCUUGAGCGUUUUAAGCUGAAAGCACAAUAUAGAAACAAGUUAAGUGUCACUUUCCAUGAGGUAUCUUUAUGAGAAUCCAACAACUUUUUAUACUCAGACAACUGUUAAAAUUACAAAAAAAAAAAAGUAGCAUAGGGAUCGUAGAUCAUGCAGCUGAACAUGAAAUUGUGGCACACAAUAACUCAAAAUGCUGGCAUGUAAAAAAAAAUUUGAAGGGAAAGAAGUAAUACUACUCUAUAGUACUUUUAUUUCAACGAAUUCAAAAUUAUGCGCUUAAUGUUUAAGAAGAAAUAUCAUCGGAACCAACUUAUACAUAUAUCAUGCUCAAAG
rnacentral:lncRNA from 1 species